GAUGAACGCUAGCUACAGGCUUAACACAUGCAAGUCGAGGGGCAGCAUGAAUUUACUUCGGUAAAUUUGAUGGCGACCGGCGCACGGGUGCGUAACGCGUAUCCAACCUUCCCGUUACUCCGGGACAGCCUUCCGAAAGGGAGAUUAAUACCGGAUGGUGUUUGAAGUCCGCAUGAAAUUCAAACUAAAGAUUUAUCGGUAACGGAUGGGGAUGCGUACCAUUAGAUAGUAGGCGGGGUAACGGCCCACCUAGUCGACGAUGGUUAGGGGUUCUGAGAGGAAGGUCCCCCACACUGGAACUGAGACACGGUCCAGACUCCUACGGGAGGCAGCAGUGAGGAAUAUUGGUCAAUGGCCGUAAGGCUGAACCAGCCAAGUAGCGUGAAGGAUGAAGGUUCUAUGGAUUGUAAACUUCUUUUAUACGGGAAUAACACCAUCUACGUGUAGAUGCCUGCAUGUACCGUAUGAAUAAGCAUCGGCUAACUCCGUG
rnacentral:rRNA from 1 species